rnacentral:rRNA from 1 species
UACGGAGGAUGCAAGCGUUAUCCGGAAUGAUUGGGCGUAAAGCGUCCGCAGGUGGCGAUGUAAGUCUGCUGUUAAAGAGUGAGGCUCAACCUCAUAAGAGCAGUGGAAACUACAUAGCUAGAGUGCGGUAGGGGCAGAGGGAAUUCCUGGUGUAGCGGUGAAAUGCGUAGAGAUCAGGAAGAACACCGGUGGCGAAAGCGCUCUGCUAGGCCGCAACUGACACUGAGGGACGAAAGCUAGGGGAGCGAACGGG